GAUGAACGCUGGCGGCGUGCCUAAUACAUGCAAGUCGAGCGAACAGACGAGGAGCUUGCUCCUCUGACGUUAGCGGCGGACGGGUGAGUAACACGUGGAUAACCUACCUAUAAGACUGGGAUAACUUCGGGAAACCGGAGCUAAUACCGGAUAAUAUAUUGAACCGCAUGGUUCAAUAGUGAAAGGCGGUUUUGCUGUCACUUGUAGAUGGAUCCGCGCCGCAUUAGCUAGUUGGUAAGGUAACGGCUUACCAAGGCAACGAUGCGUAGCCGACCUGAGAGGGUGAUCGGCCACACUGGAACUGAGACACGGUCCAGACUCCUACGGGAGGCAGCAGUAGGGAAUCUUCCGCAAUGGGCGAAAGCCUGACGGAGCAACGCCGCGUGAGUGAUGAAGGUCUUCGGAUCGUAAAACUCUGUUAUUAGGGAAGAACAAAUGUGUAAGUAACUAUGCACGUCUUGACGGUACCUAAUCAGAAAGCCACGGCUAACUACGUG
rnacentral:rRNA from 1 species